AUUGAACGCUGGCGGCAGGCCUAACAAAUGCAAGUCGAACGAGGGGCGGACGGGGGAGUAAUGUCUGGGAAACUGCCCGAUGGAGGGGGAUAACUACGGGAAAAGGGAGCUAAUACCGAAUACAAUCGGGGGGGCCCAGAUGGGAUUAGCUAGUAGGUGGGGUAACGGCUCACCUAGGCGACGAUCCCUAGCUGGUCUGAGAGGAAGACCAGCCACACUGGAACUGAGACACGGUCCAGACUCCUACGGGAGGCAGCAGUGGGGAAUAUUGCACAAUGGGCGCAAGCCUGAUGCAGCCAUGCCGCGUGUAUGAAGAAGGCCUUCGGGUUGUAAAGUACUUUCAGCGAGGAGGCGUUACUCGCAGAAGAAGCACCGGCUAACUCCGUGCCAGCAGCCGCGGUAAUAC
rnacentral:rRNA from 1 species